rnacentral:rRNA from 2 species
UAUACCGUGAAACUGCGAAUGGCUCAUUAAAUCAGUUAUCGUUUAUUUGAUAGUACCUUACUACUUGGAUAACCGUGGUAAUUCUAGAGCUAAUACAUGCUGAAAACCCCGACUUCGGAAGGGGUGUAUUUAUUAGAUAAAAAACCAAUGCCCUUCGGGGCUCCUUGGUGAUUCAUAAUAACUUCUCAGAUCGCAUGGCCUUGCGCCGGCGACGGUUCAUUCAAAUUUCUGCCCUAUCAACUUUCGAUGGUAAGGUAUUGGCUUACCAUGGUUUCAACGGGUAACGGGGAAUUAGGGUUCGAUUCCGGAGAGGGAGCCUGAGAAACGGCUACCACAUCCAAGGAAGGCAGCAGGCGCGCAAAUUACCCAAUCCCGACACGGGGAGGUAGUGACAAUAAAUACUGAUACAGGGCUCUUUUGGGUCUUGUAAUUGGAAUGAGUACAAUUUAAACCUCUUAACGAGGAACAAUUGGAGGGCAAGUCUGGUGCCAGCAGCCGCGGUAAUUCCAGCUCCAAUAGCGUAUAUUAAAGUUGUUGCAGUUAAAAAGCUCGUAGUUGAACCUUUGGCCUGGCUGGCAGGUCCGCCUCACCGCGUGCACUUGUCCGGCCGGGCCUUUUCUUCUGGAGAACCGCAUGCCCUUCACUGGGUGUGUUGGGGACCAGGACUUUUACUUUGAAAAAAUUAGAGUGUUCAAAGCAGGCCUUUGCUCGAAUACGUUAGCAUGGAAUAAUAGAAUAGGACGUGCGGUCCUAUUUUGUUGGUUUCUAGGACCGCCGUAAUGAUUAAUAGGGACAGUCGGGGGCAUCAGUAUUCAAUUGUCAGAGGUGAAAUUCUUGGAUUUAUUGAAGACUAACUACUGCGAAAGCAUUUGCCAAGGAUGUUUUCAUUAAUCAGUGAACGAAAGUUAGGGGAUCGAAGACGAUCAGAUACCGUCGUAGUCUUAACCAUAAACUAUGCCGACUAGGGAUCGGGCGGUGUUAUUAUUUUGACUCGCUCGGCACCUUACGAGAAAU